rnacentral:rRNA from 1 species
CACGUGGGUAACCUGCCUCAAUGAUUGGGACAACCCGGGGAAACUCGGGCUAAUACCAAAUGUGUUCACUCCUUCUAAGGGGGAGUGAGGAAGGAAGCUUCGGGCCUCCGCAUUGAGAUGGGCCCGCGGCCCAUUAGCUUGUUGGUGAGGUAACGGCUCACCAAGGGCUUCGAUGGGUAGCUGGUCUGAGAGGACGAUCAGCCACACUGGGACUGAGACACGGCCCAGACUCCUACGGGAGGCAGCAGUGGGGAAUCUUGCACAAUGCGCGAAAGCGUGAUGCAGCAACGCCGCGUGGGGAAGACGGCCUUCGGGUUGUAAACCCCUUUCAGUUGGGACGAAGCUUCGUCGGUGAAUAGCCGGUUGGAGUGACGGUACCUUCAGAAGAAGCCCCGGCUAACUACGUG